rnacentral:rRNA from 1 species
GGGGGCCCGCACAAGCGGCGGAGCAUGCGGAUUAAUUCGAUGCAACGCGAAGAACCUUACCAAGGCUUGACAUGGGCCGGACCGGGCUGGAAACAGUCCUUCCCCUUUGGGGCCGGUUCACAGGUGGUGCAUGGUUGUCGUCAGCUCGUGUCGUGAGAUGUUGGGUUAAGUCCCGCAACGAGCGCAACCCUCGUUCCAUGUUGCCAGCGCGUAAUGGCGGGGACUCAUGGGAGACUGCCGGGGUCAACUCGGAGGAAGGUGGGGACGACGUCAAAUCAUCAUGCCCCUUAUGUCUUGGGCUUCACGCAUGCUACAAUGGCCGGUACAAAGGGUUGCGAUACUGUGAGGUGGAGCUAAUCCCAAAAAGCCGGUCUCAGUUCGGAUUGGGGUCUGCAACUCGACCCCAUGAAGUCGGAGUCGCUAGUAAUCGCAGAUCAGCAACGCUGCGGUGAAUACGUUCCCGGGCCUUGUACACACCGCCCGUCAAGUCACGAAAGUUGGUAACACCCGAAGCCGGUGGCCUAACCCCUUGUGGGAGGGAGCUGUCGAAGGUGGGACUGGCGAUUGGGACUAAGUCGUAAACNAGGUAACCGUAAGGGC